rnacentral:lncRNA from 1 species
GGGUAUUGGUGCAUAAGUUUCCGCUGCGCACAACAAGUGGUAUCAAGAGCCGAAGGUUGUUCCUUUGGGUUGUAGAAGAGAUUGCAGAACAUUGUUUGUAGGGGUUUUGUUCGGUUUUAGGAAUCAGUCCAGAUUCGACACCCUGUGGUAAAACGGCCAUAACUUUGUACUCGGAUAUCGAAACUUCGAUCCGUUUUUUGGGUUGGAAAGUAGACUCUUCAGGCUUUCCAACAGUGUAUGGUACGUUUUCUGUUUCAAAGUAUUCUGUUCCCAGUAAUUCUUU